rnacentral:rRNA from 1 species
CAAGUCGCGUGCGCAGUUGCCGUAGCAAUACGGUGAUGGGCGCACGGCGCACGGGUGCGUAACACGUGGGCAAUCUGCCCUCUGAUGGGGAAUAACCCCGCGAAAGCGGGGCUAAUUCCGCAUAACAUUCCCAUGACUUAGGUUGAGGGAUUCAAAGCAGUGAUGCGUCAGAGGAGGAGCCCGCGCCCCAUUAGCUAGUUGGUGAGGUAACGGCUCACCAAGGCAAUGAUCGGUAGCUGGUCUGAGAGGAUGAUCAGCCACACUGGAACUGAGACACGGUCCAGACUCCUACGGGAGGCAGCAGUGGGGAAUCUUGCACAAUGGGCGAAAGCCUGAUGCAGCGACGCCGCGUGGGGGAUGAAGCAUUUCGGUGUGUAAACCCCUUUCGACUGGGAAGAAAGCCUCGCAAGAGGACUGACGGUACCAGUAUAAGAAGCCCCGGCUAACUACGUGCCAGCAGCCGCGGUAAGACGUAGGGGGCCAGCGUUGUUCGGAAUUACUGGGUGUAAAGGGUUCGUAGGCGGUGUGGCAAGUUGGGAGUGAAAUCUCUAGGCUCAACCUAGAGGCUGCUUCCAAAACUGCUGUGCUUGAGUGUGAGAGAGGCUCGUGGAAUUGCAGGUGUAGCGGUGAAAUGCGUAGAUAUCUGCAGGAACACCCGUGGCGAAAGCGGCGAGCUGGAUCACAACUGACGCUGAGGAACGAAAGCUAGGGGAGCAAACAGGAUUAGAUACCCUGGUAGUCCUAGCCCUAAACGAUCAGGACUUGGGGUGCCGCCCGUUCGGGCGUCGUCCCGGAGCUAACGCGUUAAGUCCUGCACCUGGGGAGUACGGUCGCAAGACUGAAACUCAAAGGAAUUGACGGGGGCCCGCACAAGCGGUGGAACAUGUGG